rfam:Cucumis sativus cultivar 9930 chromosome 1, whole genome shotgun sequence.
CUGUCAGGGGAAUGAUGUAUUAUCAUAGGGCACUAAACAUGUUCUCAUUUCUAGACAAGGCAUCUGAGAUCGACAUCAG